rnacentral:rRNA from 1 species
UACACUCCUACGGGAGGCAGCAGUGGGGAAUUUUGGACAAUGGGCGAAAGCCUGAUCCAGCAAUGCCGCGUGAGUGAAGAAGGCCUUCGGGUUGUAAAGCUCUUUUGUCAGGGAAGAAACGGUGAGAGCUAAUAUCUCUUGCUAAUGACGGUACCUGAAGAAUAAGCACCGGCUAACUACGUGCCAGCAGCCGCGGUAAUACGUAGGGUGCAAGCGUUAAUCGGAAUUACUGGGCGUAAAGCGUGCGCAGGCGGUUUUGUAAGUCUGAUGUGAAAUCCCCGGGCUCAACCUGGGAAUUGCAUUGGAGACUGCAAGGCUAGAAUCUGGCAGAGGGGGGUAGAAUUCCACGUGUAGCAGUGAAAUGCGUAGAUAUGUGGAGGAACACCGAUGGCGAAGGCAGCCCCCUGGGUCAAGAUUGACGCUCAUGCACGAAAGCGUGGGGAGCAAACAGGAUUAGAAACCCUUGUAGUCCCAUG